rnacentral:rRNA from 1 species
GACGUAGGGCGCGAGCGUUGUCCGGAUUUAUUGGGCGUAAAGCGCUCGUAGGCGGCUUGUCGCGUCGUCCGUGAAAACCUGGGGCUCAACCCCAGGCUUGCGGUCGAUACGGGCAGGCUCGAGUUCGGUAGGGGAGACUGGAAUUCCUGGUGUAGCGGUGAAAUGCGCAGAUAUCAGGAGGAACACCGGUGGCGAAGGCGGGUCUCUGGGCCGAUACUGACGCUGAGGAGCGAAAGCGUGGGGAGCGAACAGG